ensembl:snRNA U6 U6 spliceosomal RNA
GUGCUUAUUUUGGCAGCGCACAUACUAAAGUUGCAAUGAUACAGAGAAGAUUUGCAUGGCCCUUGUUCAAGGAGAACAUGCAAACUGGUGAAGUGUUCCUUAUUUAU